UUGAUGCAGGAGUCACGAUAAGGACCUUAAGUAAGAUCAUUGAGUGAUCGGGGUUCAGCUGUCAAGCAAGAGAAAUUUGAGUCAAUGGAGGACCGAUGAGCAAAUAAGCUCCAUAGAUGUGGCAAAGGUAUGAUCUAGCAUUUACUUAUGUAGAUCUAAAUAGAAUGGUUUAGGGGAAUGGAACCUCAGAAUCGUAUGGCUUGGUUUGGGUUUAGGAUUGACCUUUAAGCUAAAUGGUAGUUGAGUAAACUGACCAAGGCUAAGGUGAUUCGACCAGACAAGUGUUAGAUUGGUUUUAGACCAAUGGUUAACUAGAGAAUAAUCCGCUGCGUAUCUGUUGAAAGGAUCUAAGCUAUUAAUGACUAAGGAAGUCUUUAGAUAAGGUUUAUGUUAGCCCUCGCCUUUAGGCGAUAUUAUAAAUAAAGGGCAAAAAUUAAGAGGUUCGGCCAGGAAGUGGACCGAGCGAUGUAAGGCUUCGACCACGGCCUUGUCGGCCGGAUCGGGGUAUUACAAGUUGGUAUCAGAGCAUGCUUGAUCCUGUUUAGGAAAACGCUCUAAGAUUAUGAGUUUCAUACCGAAAUUAUUUCCAAAACUAUGAUGACUAUGAAACCUUAGUUUGGGUGAGCCAAGAAAGAGUUGAGGAAAACUAGGGUAUCAUGCUUGUGAAUGUGGGAAUUCUAAGAUGAACCGGCUUAGCCAAGAUACGUUUUCCAAGGGCAAGAACCUAAAAACAGAAAGGUUGGUCGAUCUAGUAUUUAGAAGUACUAGACGGGUUGCAAGGGAUGGAAUCAAUGCAAGAUUUGUUUAUGGAUGUCCUGAAAAAGGGAAGUAACAUGGACCAGAGAGUGGCUUGGGUUGAAAUAAACGUGCAGCAUUCUACUGAAGUAAAGUGUUAUCCCUUGAUGGUCGUUCAUAAUAAGUAAAGCAUAUGCAAUAUUAAAAUCUGACUCAAGGGAGACACUACAUGACCAGUACACGAGUGGACUUCUGAUCAGAUGGAUCAGUUAGGACUCGGUAUAAGUCAAGGUAUGGGAAGUUUUCCAAAUAUGUGAUCGAACCGAAAUCCUACUCAUCUAGGUACCUAAUGGUAGUGGAAGUAUUAAGUGAUAGGCGACGUCAUGAGGGAUGUUAUGGGACGUUCUUUGUGGUGUGGUCAUGAACUGAGAUAUUUUCCACAAGUGGAUUUGUGGUGUGGAAACACACAUACUUUUCGACACAAAGGCUACACAUAGUUUUGUGAGUCCGGGACUGGUCGGAAAGAGUCUGUUCUGUCUGAGAUCUGGGUUGAUUCGAGACUAGUGAGGGCAGCCGAUGGGCAAAUAAUGCAUUCACUAGGGCUCAGGAAAAAUAUCCCGGUGAUGAUCCAGUAGAGAAAUCUGCCUGUAGAUCUGAUUGAGAAAAAUAUCCACGCGCGUACAGAAUCAUGAGAUGAUCCUAUGCAUGAAUCUGUUUGGGAAAGUAUCGGGCCACUCUCGAUUGCCACCAAGUUUGUGUGCAAUUGGAGACUGGACCUCACCCGAUCCAGUACCAAAGUCUGAGUCUGAGUCCGGCUCUAAGGAAAGAAGGGGUGUCAGCAGUCCAAGUGAAUCGGAUGCUUAGACAGGGUUGUGAAGUAUUUUUUUACCACAACUACAACUAUGGAGCACGGCAAUUCUGUUGAUCUGUCUGGGAUCUCGUUGGUAUCGAGAUCCAAUGUCUGAGUCCGGCUUUAAGGAAAGUAGUGGUGUCAGCAUUCAGUGUGGAUCGGAUACUUAGACGGGAUUGAGAAGUAUUUUUGACCAGAAUUACCACUAUGGAGCGCGGCAAAUUCUGUUGAUCUGAAAGAUCUGUCUGAGGAUCCGUUGGUGUCUAAGUUCCCAGAUGUGUUCCGCUCGCUACAGGGUGUCCCCCCUGAUAGGUCGGAUCCAUUAAUGAUUGAACUGGAACCAGGGGCAGCUCCGCUGUCCUAGAGUCUGUUUCUGAUGGCUCCUGCCGAGAUGGCCGAGCUGAAGUCGACCACGUCCGAGAGAGGACCAUGGUCACAGUACAACCAAGUCAGAGAUUGACCUAAGGUUGAGAAGAUAAUGAUCAAGUCCAGUAAGGGAUGAGGAUCAGGCCACGACCUAUUCGGAGAUGGACCUAUGGUCCGGGUGAAAUGGUCGAGUCCCUGAGUGGACCAGGACCGGAUUACGAUCACGUUUAUAAAUGGACCAGGAUCGAAUUAUGACAAAGUCCAGUGAAGGACAGAGGUCAAGUCUGAGGCGUUUUUAGUCUGGAGGGACUAAGAUCGCAAUGUGGCGAAGCCUGAAAAGCUUGUGGCUGGUUAAGGGGAUGAUCCAGUACGUUGUGGCUGAGGUCAUGAACCUUAUUGUCCAUAAAGGACAAAAGAACCAUAACAAUCUGUUAGGAGUCGUUGUAGGACGAGCAGCCUAAAGAUUGGAACGAGUUCAUGAGGACUUGACUGGUACAUCGAGUGGCGUGGGGAUUGGCCAAAUCUACUAAGGCUCGAGUAUGCAGCAAGUUCCUAGGGACUUGUUAUGAUCUAGUCGUGGACUAUGAUCAGAGAUAGAAUAAAAUCUGAAGAAGAUGAUAUUCAAAAGAAAGACAUAGACUUGUUGGAUACUAGGACCGCAACCUGGAGAGUUCGUCUAGUGACACAAGGAAUGUCUUUGGAUGGAAUUACAAGUAUCACUUGAAUAAAUGCUUGAUGGACCCUCCACUGUGGUCGAAGUACACCAGUAAGGGUGCCAUAAGCAAAACCAGAAGGAACCCUUGAUAGGAUUGUUUGUGGUUAAAUCCUUAUCAAGUAAGGGAGACUUGUACAACGAUGGUCAAAGGAAUUUGAUCAUCGAAGUGGUUUUUGUUGUUCUGAAUCAGGCUUGUUCUAUUCCCUUAUCAAGACUAGAAUAAGUUCGGUUGGAAUAUUUUGUCUUAAGACAAGGUAUAAUCAUCACCGGAUUCGAGGACGAAUCCAUUUCAAGUGGUGGAGACUUAUCAUGCCCCCAAUCCUGGAUAGGAUUGUCGGGACGGCCAUGGUUCGAGGGAAACGUACCAGCCGGUCUUAAGACCUUAAGGCUAUCGUUCCAUGGCCAAGAUAGAAGGUUAAGGACGUGAGGAUGCUGAGACUUAACCUUAUAAGAGAAAGAAGUCAGCUAGGAUAAGUUGUACAGAAGCUGGGCGAUGCUUACGAGAAGCUCGAUCAGCUAGACGUAGCUCGGUCAAGCUCAGCCUAGCUCGUUCCAAGUUAAAUCAGCUCAACUAGCUGGACUACUAUCUCACUCAGCUUAGGCAGCUGGGACUCAGCUCAUCUCAGCUCAUCUCAGCUCGACGGACUGUUCGAGUUUUGGGCCGAUGGUCCGGGUCCGGGUCAGUGGCGGGCGAUGAGGUCCGGCCAUGUAGUCCAUGAGUCGUUGGGCUCUUGUGGGCAGGCCGUGGGCUUGGGUACCAGGUCUUGGCUUGGGUUGGACGUGCCUAUAAGGUCUGAAACCUUCUAUUUCUGAACAGGUACGAUCUGGACCGUUGAUUGUAAUCGAUGGCCAAGAUCUGUCCCAAAAGGAUGCUUCGAAGGGAUGUGACUCUUCGCACAUGACCUUGGGUUCUCUAUAUAAAGGGUAGGACGUCCAGGGAUUAUGAAUUCAUUCUCAUUCAGUCUGAUACAAAGGACAUACGUCCUAAACAAAGGGAUCCCCCAAUGAGAAACGAGGAUCCAAGCCGGAAGGGCAUAAUCCGGGAUCAAAGCCAUAAGGGCACGAUCCGGUUCAUAGUGAGUAUGGCUUUAGCCAUAUGAGGCCGUGGCUUUUAUAAGUCACUAAGGCCAAUAGAAAGACCUAUUCCUGGAGGGAAAUAGGCGCCAAGGGUGGUUAGCCGAGAGACGGACUGACCGAUCGGUAAGGGCUAUAGCGGCUGUGAGUGGUUCUAUCUCUGUCUCUUUAUAUUAUUAUGUCUAUAUGAUAUAUAUAUAUAUAUAUAUAUAUAUGGAACGUGAUAGUUAACCAUAUUACCACGUUAUAGACCCUUGGUCAUGGUUGGUUACGUUGAUUGCUAACCAUAGCGGAUAGGUUGGAUCAAAAGGGUACUAGUCGCCAAAGGUUACGUGUUGCCAAGGGUCAUGAGUUACCAAAGGUUGUGAGAUACCAAAGGAUGCAAGUAACCAAAAGGUAAGAGAUACCAAGGGUUGCAAGUAUCAAAGGGUAUGAGGACCAAAGGGUACCAAUGACCAAAGGGUGCAUCGUGAUCCCAAGGAUGCAAUGUAUCGUGAUCCAAGAUCUGCGAUCAUGUCGUGAUCCAAGAGUUACGAACGUGUUGUGAUCCAAGAGGUACGAAAGUGUCGUGAUCCAAGAGGUACGAACGUGUCGUGAUCCAUCGGAUGUGAACGGUUCGUGACCGAAAGGGUACAAACGGGUCGGAACUGUAAGGGUACGAACAGAACGGGACCGAAAAGGGUACGAGUGGUUCGAUGGUCACAAGGACACCACAUGCAUUAUGUUGGGCGUGGACCCACAUGAUGGCAAUAGGUUGUCCUACAGGUCAAUACAUGAUUGUAAGGAAAUAGCGAAGGCCUUAAGGAUAGGGCAAUCCAUACAACAUGAUUGAUGUAUGAACCAUAAUCCAUGGUCAAUGGAUGGAUGGUUCUGGCCGCAAAGGCUAAGUGGGAUAUCUUACGAUCAACCUUGGGUUGGUAAGUAGGAUAGGCGCCAUAUGCCUCAUGUAGGGCGUAGACCCACAUGAUGGCAAUAGAAGGCCGGUUAUAUCAGUACAUACUAAGUGGACGAUGGCUUAUCAAGUCUAGUGGUCGUAUCAUGUUUCAUGACGAUGGUUUGAUGGACGAACACUAGUAUGGAUAGUCACGUUGCUGGAGUAAGGGCAUUGAUGUGAUGCUUCUAGAUAUCAACCUUGGUGUUAAUAGCUUCGAGAUUGGCUAAGAGUCAUGACGAAGUGUGUGGCUAGUACUAUGUGUCAUAGACCAUAGAUACUGAGCCUAAGUUUGAUUAUUCAAGGAAGGCCGUGUAAGAUCUGAUCAUGGUUGAGUAUCGACGACCUUACCUCUGAAUGAUGGUUUAAGGUGUCGGUCCUAACCUGAUUAAUGAAUGCAUCGGUUGGUAUGAAAAAAUCAUAUAUGUUGUCUGGGUUAAGUCCCAAGGCCGGUCAGGCCAGAUGAUGACUCAUCAGUUCCAAGUCAUGUGAGGAUGGUUGGUAGAUUGACUUAGGAUCUAAUGAGCUUUGUCAGUCCAGAAGAUGGACUUGGUACUAUUGCCUAUAAGGCAAAAGGAUUUCGGAUUGUGCAUGAGCCGAGAAAGGCCAGAUGCAAACCCUUAUCCUUUCAAAGACUUCUCAAAGGUUACUUAUGUCUGUGGGGAUGGUUGGUUGAAUGACUAAGUACCUAGGGGAGUUGUUUGAUGCAUGAGUCACGAUAAGGACCUUAAGUAAGUUCAUUAAGUGAUCGGGGUUCAGCUGUCAAGCAAGAGCAAUUUGAGUCAAUGGAGGAUCGAUGAGCUAAUAAGCUCCAGAGAUGUGACAAAGGUAUGAUCUAGCAUUUACUUAUGUAGAUCAAGAUAGAAUGGUUUAGGGGAAUGGAACCUCAGAAUCGUAUGGCUUGGUUUGGGUUUAGGAUUGACAUUUAAGCUAAU
rnacentral:lncRNA from 1 species